rnacentral:rRNA from 1 species
GUAUCGUGGAAAGUUAUGACACAACCAAAAGGUAUGGGUGGCCCGGGCUUUAAAGAUUUUGAGUUAUUUAACUUGUCUCUGCUACCUAGGCAAGCAUGGCGUCUCUUGCAACAACCUGGAAGUCUGAGUUCCAGGGUUCUGAGGAGCAUUUAUUAUCCAGACUCGUCUAUUUUGCAUGCAAGCCUUGGUAGUCAUCCUAGUCAAAUUUGGAGAUCCAUCAUCGAAGGUAUGGUUGUUUUGAAACAAGGUCUAAUUAGAAGAAUUGACCAUGGUUCAACAACAAAUAUAUGGGAGGAAAAUUGUCUACCACGUAAUGAGAUGUUGAGGCCGUAUGGAUGUUUGGUUCCAAACCCGCUAGUUCAGGUGGCCGAACUCAUUGAUGCCACAUCGGCUAUGUGGGAUAGGCAGCAUGUGCAACAAGUGUUCAUGCCAAAAGGAUGUGCCAAUUAUCUUGGGAAUACCUUUAUGUACCAUGGACACCGAGGACUUUUGGGCUUGGAAUUUUGA